rnacentral:rRNA from 1 species
UACGAAGGUGGCAAGCGUUGUUCGGAUUUACUGGGCGUAAAGCGCACGUAGGCGGAUCGUUAAGUUAGGGGUGAAAUCCUGGAGCUCAACUCCAGAACUGCCUCUAAUACUGGCGAUCUAGAGUCCGGAAGAGGUGAGUGGAACUCCUAGUGUAGAGGUGGAAUUCGUAGAUAUUAGGAAGAACACCAGUGGCGAAGGCGGCUCACUGGUCCGGUACUGACGCUGAGGCACGAAAGCGUGGGGAGCAAACAGG